CCCCACAGGGGCAAUCCUACUUCAACCUUUGCUCUCCUUCCCCAGCCAAUCUCGGGACAAGGAGGAGGUGGAUGUGUCGGGGGAGGCAUGGAUGUCCAUCGAGUGAAGAGGUCUGAGGUGGGUACCCCGAGUUCUGCUGGGCCCAGACCCUCCCCUCUCAUGGCCACGACCCUCCCUGGCAUCCCAGUGUGUCCCAGUCCACCCUAGUGUGCCCCAGUAUCCCAGUGUGUCCCCGUAAAGCCCAGUGUGUCCCAGUCCAGCCCAGUGUGUCCCAGGUCACCCCAGUGUGUCUCUAACCCUGCCUUUGUCCCCAGCCCCCCGUGGCUGACCAGGUGGAGCUGAUGCGCCAGUGACGCUCGGCUGCCUCUCUGCAUGUCCAGGACUGGAAGUGGUGGUGACACCCGUGUCCUGGCCCCCUCCAGCGGCAUGAGGAGAUGAUCAUCCCUGGAGGACCCCCCUGAUCCCCUGGGUGCCCUGGCAAUUUCCCUGCAAGAAUCAAUAAACCCCUGCAGCAAAACA